rnacentral:rRNA from 1 species
UUGUCCUACGGGAGGCAGCAGUGAGGAAUAUUGGUCAAUGGGCGGUAGCCUGAACCAGCCAAGUAGCGUGAAGGAUGAAGGUUCUAUGGAUUGUAAACUUCUUUUAUAAAGGAAUAAAGUGAGGCACGUGUGCCUUUUUGUAUGUACUUUAUGAAUAAGGAUCGGCUAACUCCGUGCCAGCAGCCGCGGUAAUACGGAGGAUCCGAGCGUUAUCCGGAUUUAUUGGGUUUAAAGGGAGCGUAGGCGGAUUAUUAAGUCAGUUGUGAAAGUUUGCGGCUCAACCGUAAAAUUGCAGUUGAUACUGG